AUUGAUUUUGGCUUUUUUGUUAUUGGAAUGAUUGGAAUGAUAGAGAAGAUUAGCAUGGCCCCUGUGCAAGGAUGACACGUAAAUUCGUGAAGUGUUCCUCACUUUU